rnacentral:rRNA from 1 species
CUUCGGGGGAAAGAUUUAUCGGCAAAGGAUCGGCCCGCGUUGGAUUAGGUAGUUGGUGGGGUAAUGGCCUACCAAGCCGACGAUCCAUAGCUGGUUUGAGAGGAUGAUCAGCCACACUGGGACUGAGACACGGCCCAGACUCCUACGGGAGGCAGCAGUGGGGAAUCUUAGACAAUGGGCGCAAGCCUGAUCUAGCCAUGCCGCGUGAUCGAUGAAGGCCUUAGGGUUGUAAAGAUCUUUCAGUGGGGAAGAUAAUGACUGUACCCACAGAAGAAGCCCCGGCUAACUCCGUGCCAGCAGCCGCGGUAAUACGGAGGGGGCUAGCGUUGUUCGGAAUUACUGGGCGUAAAGCGCACGUAGGCGGACAGAGAAGUCAGAGGUGAAAUCCCAGGGCUCAACCUUGGAACUGCCUUUGAAACUUUUUGUCUUGAGGUCGAGAGAGGUGAGUGGAAUUCCGAGUGUAGAGGUGAAA